UGGGCGUAAAGCGAGCGCAGACGGUUACUUAAGCAGGAUGUGAAAUCCCCGGGCUCAACCUGGGAACUGCGUUCUGAACUGGGUGACUAGAGUGUGUCAGAGGGAGGUAGAAUUCCACGUGUAGCAGUGAAAUGCGUAGAGAUGUGGAGGAAUACCGAUGGCGAAGGCAGCCUCCUGGGAUAACACUGACGUUCAUGCUCGAAAGCGUGGGUAGCAAACAGGAUUAGAUACCCUGGUAGUCCACGCCCUAAACGAUGUCAAUUAGCUGUUGGGCAACUUGAUUGCUUGGUAGCGUAGCUAACGCGUGAAAUUGACCGCCUGGGGAGUACGGUCGCAAGAUUAAAACUCAAAGGAAUUGACGGGGACCCGCACAAGCGGUGGAUGAUGUGGAUUAAUUCGAUGCAACGCGAAGAACCUUACCUGGUCUUGACAUGUACGGAAUCCUCCAGAGAGGGAGGAGUGCCUUCGGGAGCCGUAACACAGGUGCUGCAUGGCUGUCGUCAGCUCGUGUCGUGAGAAG
rnacentral:rRNA from 1 species